GAUGAACGCUAGCGGCAGGCUUAAUACAUGCAAGUCAAGGGGGGUAGCAAUACAACCGGCGCACGGGUGAGUAACGCGUACACAACAUACCAUAUACUGGAGUAUAGCUUCGGGAAACUGAAGGUAAUCCUCCAUAACAUUGCGAGAAGGCAUCUAAUUGCAAUUAAAGUUUCGACGGUAUAUGAUUGGUGUGCGUUUGAUUAGCUAGUUGGUAGGUAACGGCCUACCAAGGCGACGAUCAAUAGCUGGCGUGAGAGCGCGACCAGCCACACUGGAACUGAGACACGGUCCAGACUCCUACGGGAGGCAGC
rnacentral:rRNA from 1 species